UCUGGUUGAUCCUGUCAGUAGUCAUAUGCUUAUCACAAAGAUUAAGCCAUGCAUGUCUAAGUACACGAUUUUAUAUAUCGAAACCUCGGAUGGCUCAUUAUAACAGCUAUGAUUUGAGAGAUAUUAUCAUUUGCCACAAGAUAACUGUAGUAAUUCUAGAACUAAUACUUUAUAGAAUGCCGUGACUCACGAAGUGGCGGAUUUAUUAGAUCAAAACUAACCUGUCCUAGACAGUAAUUUUUGACUCUGAAUAACUUUACUGAUCGUGCGACCUCUGUGUUGACGACGAAUCUCUUGAAAUGUCUGACCUAUCAACUUUCGAUGGUAAGAUCAAAGCUUAUCAUGGUUGUAACUGGUAACGGGAAAUUAGUGUACGAUUACGGAGAGGGAGUCUAAGAAACGGUUACCGCAUCCACGGAAGGCAGCAGGCGCGAAAAUUACCCAAUGCCGGUUCGGCGAGGUAGUGACAAUAAAUAACAAUAUGGACCCUAGUGGUUUCAUAAUUGAAAUAAGAUUAUUUUAAAUACUUUUUCAAGUAUCAAUUGGAGGGCAAGUCUGGUGCCAGCAGCCGCGGUAAUUCCAGCUCCAAAAGCGUAAAUUAAAGUUGUUGCAGUUAAAAAUCUCGUAGUUGAAAUUGAGAUAGAUUAAAUUUGAAAUCUUAUGAUUGAUUAUUACUAUACCUUUUCUUCGUGGUUAUUGGUGAGGGACUUAAUUGUUUUUUACUAAUAACUGAAAUGUUUACUUUGAAAAAGUUAGAGUGAUUAAAGCAGGCUUACGCUUGUAUAUUGUUGCAUGGAAUAAUAAAAAAGGCUAGAAGUAAAAUUCUUAGACCAUCAGCAGACAAACUACUGCGAAAGCAUUUGCCAAUAAUGUUUUCAUUAAUCAAGAACGAAAGUCAGAAUAUCGAAGACGAUCAGAUACCGUCCUAGUUCUGACCAUAAAUUAUGCCAACUGACAGUUAGUAAAGAUUUCUUCUUACUAGAAGUCACCGGGAAACCAAAGUCUUUUGGAUUCCAGGAGAAGUAUGGUUGCAAAGCUUAAAGGAAUUGACGGAAGGGCACCACAAGACGUGGAACUUGCAGCUUAAUUUGACUCAACACGGGAAAUCUCACCCGGUCCGGACACUGUGAGGAUUGAUAGAUUGAUAGCUUAUACUAAAUAGUUCAAACUUUAUAAAACUUAAAAUAACUGGUAUUUUAUUUCUGUCUUUGGUUAUUGAUAAUAAAUUAAAAUAUAUAUAAUAGUUAGGUAAUUAAAACAUUAAGAGGACAUUUGAAACUGGCGCAAGCAAAGGGCCAAAAAAACCUUAAGGAGUCAGGUAUUAAAAGUUUAAAACCGAUUUCACAUUUUUAUAAUAAGGGUUCAUCAAAUCAAGCAGAAAGACCUUCAACAUUUAACACAGAAAAAUCCACAGUUGAAACUUUAGUAAGGGAUACAGUUAUCGAAAUAGUAGAACUAAAUGAAAAUAAUGUUGAGACUGAGAGCAUUAAAAUUGUAACCACAGUGCGAGAGAGUGUGAUUAGUGCAAUGGAAUUACCAGAUUAAAACGAUUUACUGGAAGGGGGGGAGAACUAUACACAACAGUUAAAUUUUAAUAAAGAAAACAAUUGCUCAAUGGAAAACUGUCAGACCUAAAAGAC
rnacentral:rRNA from 1 species